rnacentral:lncRNA from 7 species
AUGAGUUCUCAGUCACUGUGAUCAAAGUUCAGUGUUCUUCAUCUGAGGUCUCCAAUCCCCUCUGCCUGGAGCCUGGCCACCAGCCCAGCCAGGGUGCUCCUUGUUCCAGUGAAAAUCUGCAAUCUCACAUAGAUCUCACAAUACUUGUACAGCAGGUGGUGUCCAUAUUCACUCCUCAUAAUCUUCCUGUGCAGUCCUGAUUUACCGCUAUGCGUGACUCAAGGUCCAAGAUGCCCAGGGCAGCCCUGAUGUAUGUGUUCCCACGCAGCAGCUGUGUCUCAUCACAAAGCUCAUUGAAAGAUGCUCCACUUGCUCACUGCCCCAACAGCUGCAAGUUCAGAAGUUAAUGUGCAUUAUCUGUGGAUGGGGAAAACCACUAAGUGAAGAACAAUCUUUAAUAAUGAAAGUGCAGAAGAGAGACCAGCAGUGGUGUUUUUAUGACUUUCGACUCCCACAAUGCUGAGAAUCUGUCCCCUUCAUGUUUUGUACCAUCACUUUGCCUCUCACC